AGAAGGGAACUGUUAACGUGAUUCUUGUCCAUAGAAGGGACGAGAUGUAUGUUUUUAGCCGCAUGAUCUUUCCAAAAGUAAACUUCAUACCUACCGUGCUAAUGCCAUGAAUAGAAGCAUGCAACCCAUUCCCCAUUAGGUCAGAGGAAUCCCAGAUGACCUAAUAAGAAUAGAACAUAUUAAUGUCAAAACACACAUGAACAUUAGCACCAAUAUCAAUCGACCAACUAGAUGAUUGAAAAAUUGAGAAGAUGAUAGGUAGAUUACCAUACCGUUUGUCUCCCUCAUUGCUAGUUGUCACUGUAUUGACAUUGCCCUUUUUCCAUGAUGAUCUGCUCGAU
rnacentral:lncRNA from 1 species